UGGGGAAUCUUGGACAAUGGGCGCAAGCCUGAUCCAGCCAUGCCGCGUGAGUGACGAAGGCCUUAGGGUUGUAAAGCUCUUUUGGCGGGGACGAUAAUGACGGUACCCGCAGAAUAAGUCCCGGCUAACUUCGUGCCAGCAGCCGCGGUAAUACGAAGGGGACUAGCGUUGUUCGGAAUUACUGGGCGUAAAGCGCACGUAGGCGGAUGGGUAAGUGGGUCGUGAAAGCGCCGGGCUAAACCGGGCGAGGACGAUACAGACUGCUCGUCUAGAGGCGGAUAGAGGGGUGCGGAAUUCCGGGUGUAGCGGUGAAAUGUGUAGAGAUCCGGAGGAACACCAGUGGUGCAAACGGCGCCCUGGGUCCGAACUGACGCUGAGGCACGAAAGCGUGGGGAGCGAACGGGAUUAGAUACCCAAGUAGUCCCUGAGCGGGCUGGCAAGGCGCAU
rnacentral:rRNA from 1 species